ACUGGUGUUCGGGUUGUCAUGCCAAUGGCAUUGCCCGGUAGCUAAGUGCGGAAAAGAUAAGUGCUGAAAGCAUCUAAGCACGAAACUUGCCCCGAGAUGAGUUCUCCCUGACUCUCUGAGAGUCCUGAAGGGACGUUGAAGACGACGACGUUGAUAGGCCGGAUGUGUAAGUGCAGCGAUGCAUUGAGCUAACCGGUACUAAUGACCCGUGAGGCUUAACCUU
rnacentral:ncRNA from 1 species